UACGGAGGGUGCGAGCGUUAAUCGGAAUUACUGGGCGUAAAGCGCGCGUAGGCGGCGACAUAAGUUGGAGGUGAAAUCCCCGGGCUCAACCUGGGAACUGCUUUCAAAACUGUGUGGCUAGAGUAUGGUAGAGGUGAGUGGAAUUUCCUGUGUAGCGGUGAAAUGCGUAGAUAUAGGAAGGAACAUCAGUGGCGAAGGCGACUCACUGGACUAAUACUGACGCUGAGGUGCGAAAGCGUGGGGAGCAAAC
rnacentral:rRNA from 1 species